CGCCUUAUCCUUCUCUCCGAUCUGCCCCGCCGCCGACCUUGUGAUGAUUAUUACAGUUCUGAAGGUCCAGACAUAAUUUUUCAAAAUUUAACUUUUUGUGGAGAAGAAUUUUCAAAUGUUCGUCGAGCAAAAAGGUUUCAAAAUAUUUAUCCUCAGUUUUUAAUUAUCUCCUGCUAAGGAAAUACAUUCAAGAAUUUCCUUUGUUUUGUGUUUGUUUGGAAAGUACCAAAGUUAAAAGAUUCGCAAAGAUCAAAUGCUAUGUUUUAAGGACCAUUGGUUAGAUUACAUUGCCUUUGAACCUUUAGCUAAAGAUGCCCAAUUGAUUGAUACUUUUCAAAAUCUAUGUAGAAGCUGAAAAAAGGGCAAUAACUUAAAGCUCUAAGCUAGGCAUGGAUGAACCAUCGAAAUAUCAAUCCUUGGCAACUCUUACGGGAGAUGUAAGCAACAAUAAUAUGAUCAAGGUGUUUUAGUCAUUACUCAUAAAAUAAGGGACCUGCCAAUCAGCAAAAUGCAAGUUUAGGUUGUGAGUAGCAAAGACAACAAAGAGUCAGGGACAUUCACCUGUCCUGAUGUGAGAUCAAAAGAAAUUGAAUGCAUGUAUUGUGACUGCAUAUUUUAACCAGACAGCGUUGGUCCAGAGCCUAAGGUCUAAAGAAUCCACAUCCCAAGAUUUUAAUCAGGAUCUUGUGACGUUUAUUAAACUUUUCUCCUUCAACUUCCCAAUCUUUUUUCUCAUAUAUGCUUUAAACUUUUGUGUAUCUACAUAUGGCUUUGAAAGUUACCAGCUCACAAACUUAUUCCAUUACUAACUCCAAUCAAACAGUUAAGAGGCUAAAGGAAAU
rnacentral:lncRNA from 1 species